CCUACGGGGCGCAGCAGUGAGGAAUAUUGGUCAAUGGACGAGAGUCUGAACCAGCCAAGUAGCGUGAAGGAUGACUGCCCUAUGGGUUGUAAACUUCUUUUAUAUGGGAAUAAACUGUUCCACGUGUGGGAUUUUGUAUGUACCAUAUGAAUAAGGAUCGGCUAACUCCGUGCCAGCAGCCGCGGUAAUACGGAGGAUCCGAGCGUUAUCCGGAUUUAUUGGGUUUAAAGGGCGCGUCGGUGGAUUGUUAAGUCAGUUGUGAAAGUUUGCGGAUCAACAGUAAAAUUGCAGUUGAAACUGUCAGUCUUGAGUACAGUAGAGGUGGGCGGAAUGCGUGGUGUAGCGGUGAAAUGCUUAGAUAUCACGAAGAACUCCGAUUGCGAAGGCAGUUCACUGGACUGCAACUGACACUGAGGCUCGAAAGUGUGGGUAUCAAACAGGAUUAGAUACCCUUGUAGUC
rnacentral:rRNA from 1 species